GACGUCAAGUCAGUCAUGCCCUUAUGACCUGGGCUACACACGUGCUACAAUGGUUGGUACAACGAGUUGCGAGUCGGUGACGGCGAGCUAAUCUCUUAAAGCCAAUCUCAGUUCGGAUUGUAGGCUGCAACUCGCCUACAUGAAGUCGGAAUCGCUAGUAAUCGCGGAUCAGCACGCCGCGGUGAAUACGUUCCCGGGCCUU
rnacentral:rRNA from 1 species